rfam:Triticum aestivum genome assembly, contig: Triticum_aestivum_CS42_TGACv1_scaffold_049807_1BS
UAAAUACUCCCUCCGUCCGAAAAUACUUGUCAUCAAAAUGGAUAAAAAGAGAUGUAUCUAAAACUAAAAUACGUCUAGAUACAUUUCCUUUUAUCCAUUUUGAUGACAAGUAUUUCUGGAUAGAGGAAGUAUUUG